UUUAACAUAUAAAUUAUGAACUAUUUAAAAGCAUGAUGUUCCCACUUAUUCAUAAGCUUAGAACACAUAUAUUAACGCUUAUUGUUAGUGCUCUCAAAAUAUGGACGAUAUCAUGAUCAUAGAGGUAAAGUCA